GACGAACUGUCCUAACGUUGUUCGGAAUCACUGGGCUUAAAGGGCGCGUAGGCGGUCGACCAAGUCAGGGGUGAAAUCCUGCAGCUUAACUGUAGAAGUGCCUUUGAUACUGGUCGUCUGGAGGGAGAUAGGGGUGUGUGGAACUUCCAGUGGAGCGGUGAAAUGCGUUGAUAUCGGAAGGAACGCCGGAGGCGAAAGCGACGCACUGGAUCUCUACUGACGCUGAGGCGCGAAAGCUAGGGGAGCAAACGGG
rnacentral:rRNA from 1 species